rnacentral:rRNA from 1 species
AAUAGAUACCCGGGUAGUCCACGCCGUAAACGAUGAGUGCUAAGUGUUAGAGGGUUUCCGCCCUUUAGUGCUGAAGUUAACGCAUUAAGCACUCCGCCUGGGGAGUACGACCGCAAGGCUGAAACUCAAAGGAAUUGACGGGGGCCCGCACAAGCGGUGGAGCAUGUGGUUUAAUUCGAAGCAACGCGAAGAACCUUACCAGGUCUUGACAUCCUCUGACAACCCUAGAGAUAGGGCUUCUCCUUCGGGAGCAGAGUGACAGGUGGUGCAUGGUUGUCGUCAGCUCGUGUCGUGAGAUGUUGGGUUAAGUCCCGCAACGAGCGCAACCCUUGAUCUUAGUUGCCAUCAUUAAGUUGGGCACUCUAAGGUGACUGCCGGUGACAAACCGGAGGAAGGUGGGGAUGACGUCAAAUCAUCAUGCCCCUUAUGACCUGGGCUACACACGUGCUACAAUGGACGGUACAAAGAGCUGCAAGACCGCGAGGUGGAGCUAAUCUCAUAAAACCGUUCUCAGUUCGGAUUGUAGGCUGCUAAC